UACGUAGGGUGCAAGCGUUAAUCGGAAUUACUGGGCGUAAAGCGUGCGCAGGCGGUUUUGUAAGUCAGAUGUGAAAUCCCCGGGCUCAACCUGGGAACUGCGUUUGAAACUACAAGGCUAGAGUGUAGCAGAGGGGGGUGGAAUUCCACGUGUAGCAGUGAAAUGCGUAGAGAUGUGGAGGAACACCGAUGGCGAAGGCAGCCCCCUGGGUUAACACUGACGCUCAGGCACGAAAACGUGGGGAGCAAACAGG
rnacentral:rRNA from 1 species